AUCUCAAAUGGGUAAAUGGAGUUAAAUUUGUCUCAAUACAUGCAAAUGCACAGAGGGUCAUCUACAAAUAUUCCUUGAUUUGCACGACAUGAACAAAUAAUUUACACAUAAUUAACUAAACUGCAAAUUACAAAUAACACAAUGCUCAUAGAGCUGAGGGUAUUUUAGCCUUGCGUUAUAUUUUUUGAGUAGUUUAUGUUCAGUCAUUAUGACAGGUGGUAAACACACAAAGUGCAUUAGACUCGUACAGUAUAAUUAGCUUGUUUUAGCUAACAGUUACAUAAAAAAUAAAAUAUCACUUUAUGACAUCAUAAAGUGUAUUAGCUUUCCCAAAGGCUUUGAUGGACUUGUACACACAGCUAACUGUUAGAUUCAAGUUUUAUUCUCCUAACUGGGUUUAAAAAAAAUAAAUCACCUCCACAGUUCACAGAAAAAAAAAGCAAAGCAUGGUGACAGGAUGAACGAGGAUACAGAGGAACGCGGUGAAUCUGCUUGUGGUUUGUGAUUGUGGAUUUGACAUUGAAUCAGACGGCGAGUGACACAGGAGAUGACAUUUCUGGACAGGACGUGCAAUCACAGGUUCCCAAAAUCCCAAACUGAAAAUCUAAAACUGGAUCAGACCAACACUCAGGAAUCACUUUUCUUUCUGAAGAAGGCUUUGCCCUCAGAGACUCGGUCUUUGGUUUCCUGC